rfam:Ailuropoda melanoleuca scaffold2498_19, whole genome shotgun sequence.
CCAAAGGCUCUUUUCAGAGCCACUCAAUUCUUUCACACAAAGAGCUU